CUGGGUUACGGUGACAUGUACCCGCAGACGUGGUCGGGCAUGCUGGUGGGCGCGUUGUGUGCCCUGGCGGGCGUGCUGACGAUAGCCAUGCCUGUGCCCGUUAUCGUCAAUAAC
rfam:Salmo salar isolate Sally breed double haploid chromosome ssa17, whole genome shotgun sequence.